UCCAGACUCCUACGGGAGGCAGCAGUGAGGAAUAUUGGUCAAUGGGCGGAAGCCUGAACCAGCCAAGUCGCGUGAGGGAAUAAGGCCCUACGGGUCGUAAACCUCUUUUGCCGGGGAGCAAGGGCGGGGACGUGUCCCGGCCCGGAGAGUACCCGGAGAAAAAGCAUCGGCUAACUACGUGCCAGCAGCCGCGGUAAUACGUAGGUGGCGAGCGUUAUCCGGAAUGAUUGGGCGUAAAGGGUGCGCAGGCGGUCCUGCAAGUCUGGAGUGAAACGCAUGAGCUCAACUCAUGCAUGGCUUUGGAAACUGGAGGACUGGAGAGCAGGAGAGGGCGGUGGAACUCCAUGUGUAGCGGUAAAAUGCGUAGAUAUAUGGAAGAACACCAGUGGCGAAGGCGGCCGCCUGGCCUGUUGCUGACGCUGAGGCACGAAAGCGUGGGGAGCAAAUAGGAUUAGAUACCCGAGUAAC
rnacentral:rRNA from 1 species